rnacentral:rRNA from 1 species
CCGGCGACCGGCGCACGGGUGAGUAACACGUAUGGAACCUGCCCUAUGCAGGGGGAUAAGCGGAAGAAAUUCCGUCUAAUACCGCAUAACACCAUUUGGAGACAUCUCCAGGGGGUCAAAGGAGGCGACUCCGGCAUAGGGUGGCCAUGCGUCGCAUUAGCUAGUCGGCGGGGUAACGGCCCACCGAGGCGACGAUGCGUAGGGGUUCUGAGAGGAAGGUCCCCCACACUGGUACUGAGACACGGACCAGACUCCUACGGGAGGCAGCAG